AGCCCGGAACGCUAGGCCUUUUCUGGGCCGCCCCCGCCGCUCCAAGCAGAGACGCCAUCCCUUUCCCCCACCCUGCCCGGUUCCUGAAGCCCUGCGGCGGCUCCGGGCGAGGACUAAGGGCGGCCCCUGCAGCAUACCUGCUCCGCCGGCUCCGCGAGGCCAACGAAGCGUCCCAGAACGAUCCGGGUUCCCGGGGCCGCUGCGCCUCCCCGCGGCUGGGCGGAGCCGCGCAAGGAAACGCGGGCGGGGCGCGAGGCUGGAAUGGCCUGGGGACCCGUCCACACAGUCCACCGCGAGGCAAGGUCAGGCGCCAGGGAGUUUGGAGACCCGACAGAGCCACCCCCACACCGUCCUGUUGCCUUGGGUCGGGAUUGCUUUGCGUUGCACUCUACAGUAGCGCUCCCCGCUCUUGCUUACGGUGCACCAGACGCUUCGCAAACGUUUUCUCUUUUCUUUACAACCCCGCAAGGCAGUAGUCUCCUAGUUUUACAAAUAAGCUAAACUCAGAUAGGUAGAGUGUUUCUUGUACAAGGUCUCAAAUAUCUCCAAGAGGUGGACGUGAGAGACUGGAACCGCUUCCUACUCUUUGGGUCACAGCGGCGGCCUGCCAAGGGACUUUCUAAGGCAACCCGCGCUGCCCAAGCGUCUGCACGCACGCCCCCUCCCCACCCUACCCUGUCCCAUUCUGGAUUUGCACAUCAAGCAGCUAAAACGUUUAAGUAGUUGAAAAAAUGUAUUUUCCAGCAAUUGUAAAUAGUGACGCAAGUAAAAUAUAUCCAAUUGAAUCUAAACACUACAGUGAUAUGGUACCCUCCAUCGUCCAUCACACACAAGCAAAAGCCCACAAAAAAGCUAUUUUAAAAAUCUUAAGUUUACAUCACUACUUUUCCUUCUUAAAAUCAUCUCUCCGCCAUCCCCUCCCCGUCCCUGCCACAAAAAAUUUCCUCUUCUUAUAAGCACUAUAGUCAAAUUGAACUAGGACUGAACCAAAGGCCUCAUUUUGAUCUCAUUGCAUCUUUAAAGUCUCUAUCUCCGAAUACAGUCUCAUUAUGAGUUACUAGUGUUAGAUUUCAAUAUGUGAAUUGGGAGUGGCCGGGGCAGGGGCGAAUGCAGCCCAUAACAGGAGUCCAAAAGUUGUUUAGGAGUUGGAACAGCCAAUGUUAGUUUUUUUGGCAGUGAAAUUCCCUCAAAAUAUUAGUAAGUAUAUGAUCUACUUGUCUUUGUUUAAUUUCAUGUGUCAGUGACCACACCCACAUUUCUUCCCUAGAAUUCUUAGACAUGCUUUAUUAAAUCAUAUCUUCAUUCUACUUUCCUCAUAGAAUUUUAUCCCAGUUAUCUUUUUCAUGCUUGAAAGUCUUAAUUGAUCAUCCUGCCAUACUGCUGAAAGAAGUAUAGAAAUGGAAAUUUACAUUUCCUGCUCACAGAAUUUUUUUUCUAGAUUGUUAAAAUCACUAGUACUACACAAUUGAUCACAAUAAAAUAUAUCACAAUACUGAUAAUUAUAUUAAAUAUAACAAAAUAAAACUGUAUUGAAAAUUCAUCUCUUUAAGACCUGGAUGGGCUCCCCAUGCGUCAUCAGUUCCUGUAUCCAUAGAUGAAUGCUAACUUCUUGCUACAAUGAAGUUUAACACUGAGUCUCUUCAAUUUUUUUUAAGGCUGUAAGUGCUGAGAAAUAAGUACAUAAGAAUGAAAAGUUUUGUUAAAAGUGUCCCUCAAUUUUUGUCUAGUUGUAUCUCAAGAAUCAUAUAGUAAUCUAUCAUCAAAAAUGGUUUAUAAUCAUGAACUGGUAAUUACAUUACUCUUCUGAAAUUUUAUUAAAAGCAAAACCCCAUAAGCCAUUCUGAUUUUAAAAAGGAUUAUCCAAUACUUAUCCAGUCUCUCAGUAACUGUACAUAAUUUCAAGUUUUUUUGUUUGAUGGUUUGGAAAUGUUUAUACCCUGGGGCAAUGCUAAGAUUGAAGAUGACUAAGAAGUAUGGAAUACAGUAUAUAUGGAAGCUCAGUAUCUGGAAAUAUCCUUAGAAUGAUCCAUGCCUGCUUUAACUUGAAAAAUGUUCAAGAGAGUGGUAAGCUAAUUUCAAAGAGCUCACCUAAAUAACUUUGGGAAAUGGUAUUUGACUGGAAGCCAUGAGACAAUAGGAAAGAUACAUAAACUCUGUACCUUAGUUGGUAAAUUUGUAUCUCCCAGGGGUAUGGGUUAAUGCUUUGGAAACUGCUUUACAAAUAGACUAGGAUUGAACAGCUAAGCGGGUGGUGGAUGGUGCAAGCCAGUUUUCUCAUUGUCAGGGAGAGAAGUUAUAGAAAAGCAUGAGAAGAAGGCUAGAAUGAACCUUGUAGUAUUGGGUUAGUUGGAGACAUCAGUAUGGACCCAUGCUUAAUUUAAUGUAUGUACAGAUGGAGAGAUACAGAAAUAACUGUAGAGAUGUGUGGAUGGUUAUACAAUUAUACAGUGUACAUAGGUUAGUAUAUACACAUAUACUUCCUAGCUCUGCUGAGAGGGCCUAAAAGCAGUGACACCCCAGGAACAACAAGCACACCCAGCAACCAGAUCUUGGUUUCUAAACCAGUGGGAACCUCAUUGAAAUGGAUGAUUUUGGGGCUGGGGCAGAGAAGGUAAAGAUGAGUCUGGAUGAUCUUGUAGUGCCACAAAGGAAGGAAGUGCUCCAAAAGAAUAGGGGCACAUCAAAGGGACAUAGGAGGUGACCUGAAACAAUCCCCAACAGCAAAAGCUAGAACAAUUUAAGCAAGAAAACAAACAACUUAUUAUUGGAUUAUACUCCCACCCCCAGAGGUGGAGAUUAAUUCCUCUGCAUUUGACUACAAGCUGGAGUGUGUGACUUGCUUAUAGUGAACACAGCAUGAACAUGGAAAAUUACAAAGUUGAUAGUGGAGAGCCUGGCAGACACUGCCUUCAUCAAUUGAUCAAGGUGAACGACACUGGGAAGAAGUCAUGCUGAUACUGUGUACUCCCUGAAAUGAUGUGAUGAGAAGGGCACUUCACCUUUGUGGUUUUCCCCAAAAUCCGUAAGCUUAGUUCAAUUGUGCGACAAACCCAAAUUGAGCAAGAGUCUACAAAAUACCUGAGAAGUACUCAAAAACAUCAAGGUCCCAAAAAACAAGGAAAGAUUUAGAGACUGCCUGAGACCACUGGAGAUUAAAGAUAUCCAAAUGACUGCUAUCUUCUGACAAGAUCUGCAGACCACCUCAUGCUUCCCAGGGCUGACCCUCCAACCCAGGCUCUUUUGUGCAUCCUAUGAGGGACUGUAUUUAAGGACAGCUGGUGAAGACCAUUGGAAUGAUCUUCAAACUACUCAGAAUCAGGUCAUAUUGAAAAACUGCACACAUUACUAUAUCAUAAUUAAAUAUAUUUAAUUUUCAAGCCUUUAGGAAGUGUAAAAAGAGUCACAUAAUAAUAAACACAAAUCAU